rnacentral:rRNA from 1 species
AGAGUUUGAUCAUGGCUCAGAACGAACGCUGGCGGCGUGCCUGAGACAUGCAAGUCGUGGGAGAACGUCGGGGCAACCCGGCUAGUAAACCGGCGCACGGGUGAGUAACACGUGGAUAACCUGCCCUGGAGACUGGGAUAACCCGUCGAAAGACGGACUAAUACCAGAUAAGACCACGGACAGUUCGCUGUCCGAGGUAAAAGGUGGCCUCUGCUCCUGCAAGCUAUCACUCCGGGAGGGGUCCGCGGCCUAUCAGCUAGUUGGCGGGGUAAUGGCCCACCAAGGCAAAGACGGGUAGCUGGUCUGAGAGGAUGGUCAGCCACACUGGGACUGAGACACGGCUCAGAGUCCUACGGGAUGCAGCAGUCAGGAAUAUUGCGCAAUGGAGGAAACUCUGACGCAGCGACGCCGCGUGGGUGAUGAAGGCCUUCGGGUCGUAAAGCCCUGUCGGAGGGAAAGAAAAGCUCGCUGGCUAAUAUCCAGCGAGCCCUUGACGGUACCCUCAAAGGAAGCACCGGC